UUAGGGCCCUGGCUCCAUCUCCUUUAGGAAAACCUUCUGUGGGGAGUGGGGCUUCGACCCUAACC
ensembl:miRNA MIR1296 microRNA 1296